CAAUAGCGUAUAUUAAAGUUGUUGCAGUUAAAAAGCUCGUAGUUGGAUUUCUGGUUGAAGCGACCGGUCGGGCGUUGAUUCGUCUGCACUGGAGUCGGUUUUGGCCAUCCUCUAGGAAAGUGCGUCUGGUAUUAAGUUAUCGGGCGUAUGAUCCUGGUCUUUUACUGUGAAAAAAUUAGAGUGUUUAAAGCAGGCCUUCGCCUUGAAUACAUUAGCAUGGAAUAAUAAGAUAGGACUUUGGUCUAUUUUGUUGGUUUGCAGACCGAAAUAAUGAUUAAUAGGGAUAGUUGGGGGUAUUUAUAUUCCGAUGUCAGAGGUGAAAUUCUUAGAUUUUCGGAAGAUAAACUUAUGCGAAAGCAUUUACCAAGGAUGUUUUCAUUAA
rnacentral:rRNA from 1 species